CCUACGGGGGACAGCAGUGGGGAAUAUUGCACAAUGGGGGAAACCCUGAUGCAGCGACGCCGCGUGAGUGAAGAAGGAUUUCGGUAUGUAAAGCUCUAUCAGCAGGGAAGAAAAUGACGGUACGUGACUAAGAAGACGCGGCGAACUACGAGCCAGCAGCCGCGGUAAUACGUAGGGGGCAAGCGUUAUCCGGAUUUACUGGGUGUAAAGGGCGCGUAGGUGGCAGGGCAAGUCAGAUGUGAACACCCGGGGCUCAACCCCGGGAGUGCCUUUGAGACUGUCCAGCUGGAGUGCAGGAGAGGUAAUCGGAAUUCCUCGUGUAGCGGUGAACUGCAUAGAUAUUAGGAGGAACCCCAGUGGCGAAGGCGGCUUACUGGACUGUAACUGACACUGAGGCUCGAAAGCGUGGGGAGCAAACAGGAUUAGAUACCCUGGUAGUC
rnacentral:rRNA from 1 species